rnacentral:rRNA from 1 species
AUCAGGUGGUUAACAUUUCAAGCUUGUGCUUAUAGAGGCCAUGAUGAAUCUCCGGGAUCAAGUAAUCAGGGUAAUUUUCUUCAACUAGUGAGGUUCUCGGCUUUUUAUAUCAAAGAGGUGAAUGCGGUUGUUUUGGAAAAUGCUCCAAAGAAUGCGAAUUACACCUCCCAUACAGUGCAACUAGAAAUCCUCACAUUACUUUCUAGUAGAGUUAAGAGAAAAAUUAGAGAUGAAAUUGAUACUAGCAAGUUCUGCAUAAUGGUAGACAAAGCACGAGAUGAAUCUAAAAAAUAGCAAAUGGCAUUGGUUCUUCGAUUCCCAAGCACUGAGGGGGUUCAUACAGGAGUGUUUUCUUGA